rnacentral:rRNA from 1 species
CAGUCGCCGCGGGAAUACGAAGGGGGCUAGCGUUGUUCGGAAUCACUGGGCGUAAAGGGUGCGUAGGCGGAUUCUUAAGUCAGGGGUGAAAUCCCGAGGCUCAACCUUGGAACUGCCUUUGAUACUGGAAGUCUUGAGUCCGGGAGAGGUGAGUGGAACUGCGAGUGUAGAGGUGAAAUUCGUAGAUAUUCGCAAGAACACCAGUGGCGAAGGCGGCUCACUGGCCCGGUACUGACGCUGAGGCGCGAAAGCGUGGGGAGCAAACAGGAUUAGAUACCCCUGUAGUCCCUGUCUCUUAUAC